CGGCCGCGUCGACGUUUGAUCCUGGCUCAGAACGAACGCUGGCGGCAGGCCUAACACAUGCAAGUCGAACGCACCGCAAGGUGAGUGGCAGACGGGUGAGUAACACGUGGGAACAUGCCCUUCGGUUCGGAAUAACUCAGGGAAACUUGAGCUAAUACCGGAUACGUCCGCGAGGAGAAAGAUUCAUCGCCGAAGGAUUGGCCCGCGUCGGAUUAGCUAGAUGGUGGGGUAAAGGCCUACCAUGGCGACGAUCUGUAGCUGGUCUGAGAGGAUGAUCAGCCACACCGGGACUGAGACACGGCCCGGACUCCUACGGGAGGCAGCAGUGGGGAAUAUUGGACAAUGGGGGCAACCCUGAUCCAGCCAUGCCGCGUGUGUGAAGAAGGC
rnacentral:rRNA from 1 species